rnacentral:rRNA from 1 species
GCUCGUAGUUGGAUUUUGGGCGCAGGCGGCCGGUCCGUCGCAAGGCGUGUACUGGCCGUCCUGGCCUCACCUCCGGUUCUCCGCCGGUGCCCUUGACUGAGUGUCGGCGGCGGCCGGAACGUUUACUUUGAAAAAAUUAGAGUGUUCAAAGCAGGCGAUUCGCCUGAAUAAUGGUGCAUGGAAUAAUGGAAUAGGACCUCGGUUCUAUUUUGUUGGUUUUCGGAGCGCGAGGUAAUGAUUAAGAGGGACAGACGGGGGCAUUCGUACUGUGCCGUUAGAGGUGAAAUUCUUGGAUCGGCGCAAGACGAACGACUGCGAAAGCAUUUGCCAAGAAUGUUUUCUUUAAUCAAGAGCGAAAGUCAGAGGUUCGAAGACGAUCAGAUACCGUCCUAGUUCUGACUAUAAACGAUGCCAACUAGCGAUCGGGGGGCGUUAGUUUUACGACCUCUCCGGCAGCUUGCGGGAAACCAAAGUCUUUGGGUUCCGGGGGAAGUAUGGUUGCAAAGCUGAAACUUAAAGGAAUUGACGGAAGGGCACCACCAGGAGUGGAGCCUGCGGCUUAAUUUGACUCAACACGGGAAAUCUCACCCGGCCCGGACACAGUGAGGAUUGACAGAUUGAGAGCUCUUUCUUGAUUCUGUGGGUGGUGGUGCAUGGCCGUUCUUAGUUGGUGGAGCGAUUUGUCUGGUUAAUUCCGAUAACGAACGAGACUCUGGCUUGCUAACUAGUUACGCGACCCAAUCGGUCGGCGUCUAACUUCUUAGAGGGACUAGUGGCGUUUAGCCACACGAGAUUGAGCAAUAACAGGUCUGUGAUGCCCUUAGAUGUUCGGGGCCGCACGCGCGCUACACUGACCGGAUCAGCAUGUGCUCGCCUUGGCCGACAGGUCUGGGUAACCCGCUGAACCCCGGUCGUGCUAGGGAUAGGGAAUUGCAAUUAUUCC